rnacentral:rRNA from 1 species
UACGUAGGGGGCGAGCGUUGUCCGGAUUUAUUGGGCGUAAAGAGCUCGUAGGCGGUUCGGGUAAGUCGGAUGUGAAAUCUCCACGCUCAACGUGGAGGGGCCAUUCGAUACUGCCGUGACUUCGAGUCCGGUAGGGGAGUGUGGAAUUCCCGGUGUAGCGGUGAAAUGACGCAGAGAUCGGGAGGAACACCCGUAGCGAAGGCGGGUCGUCCUGGGCCGAGUACUGACGCUGAGGAGCGAAAGCAUGGGGAGCGAACGAGGA